rnacentral:rRNA from 1 species
GGGUCUACCCAUUGGUCAGGCUUAAUUGUCUGCACUGGUGAGACGGAUCUCUACCUUCUGAGGAACUUUCAUGCCAUUUAUUUGGUGUGAUGGGAAAUCAGGACUGUUACUUUGAAAAAAUUAGAGUGUUUAAAGCAGACUAUCGUCUGAAUACAUUAGCAUGGAAUAAUGAAAUAGGACGGACUGAUUCUAUUUCGUUGGUUUCUAGGAUCACCGUAAUGAUUAAUAGGGAUAGUUGGG